rnacentral:sRNA from 12 species
GUGCAACCGGGCUGGUCUGCCGGGGAUUGCCCGAGGUGCUGCCACCUCUCCCCCGCCUCGUGCGGGGUCGGCCCCCGGAGACCAGCCCAUUACUC